AAUUAAAUUUUCUAAAUAACAAAAAUCCAAAUUUCUAAUUGUACUAGAAAAUCUGAAUCAAAGAUUUUAAUUUGUCAAUUAACAAUUAAAUGAAAAUAAUUCCUAGACCUAGCCUUCCAUGACUUCAUUCUCUCCUGUUUGAAGAAAACUCAACAUCGAGUUUUAUAGUAUUGAAGAAUCAAGAACUGAAUUUGGAGAAUAAGCAGCCCUAUCUUCUUGGAUGUUAGCAAUAAGAUUGAAACAAUGAA
rnacentral:misc_RNA from 1 species